GGACAAUUAAUCGUGCUAUGGUCG
rnacentral:siRNA from 1 species